CUGGGUGAGCUGCGGUCUGGUCACAGGGGCGCCCCAGGGAAGCUUCUCGACUACUGCGUUCGGAGGCUGCCCACCCACACCAGGCUCCUCACCCAUCCUUAUUCUUCACGGACAUCCCCAAUCAAGCGUCCGCACUUGACUGCCAUUUUGCAGGAAACGCCAAGGCUAGAGUGUCUUGUGUUGCAAUCAGCCCCAGGGAAACUGGCAGGUCAGACGGCCCAGGCUCUGCCACAGAUAAACCAUGAGGAAGAAACAAAUGGCAGGGGAAGCAGACAUUGAAAGACUGAACAGGUCUUAGUUGCAGCACAUGAGAUCUUCGAUCUUUGCUGUGGCGUGUGGGAUCUUUAGUUGCAGCAUGUGGUGUCUAGUUCCCUGGCCAGGCAUCAAACCCUGAUCCCCUGCAUUGGGAGUGUGGAAUCCUAGCCACAGGACCAAGGGAAGUCCCUACUGAACCCAGUUGAAUUGCAAGAGUCCUUGUAAUCCAAGAGGGAAGAAGGAGAGUUAGACCCAGAGGGACGCAGCACAAGACAGAACGGACCGACCUCUGCAACUCUGAAGACGGAGGAGGGGCCACAAGCCCAGGUGCGCGGGCGGCCUGGAGAAGCUGGAAAAGACACGGAAGCCAAUGUUUCUCUCUCAACCUCCCCGAGGAGCUCAACCCUGCCCCUUAAUGGUGGCUAAAGAAGAUCCCAUUUGAACGUCUGACCUCCAGAACUGUAAGAUAAAUUUGUGUUGUUUUAAGCAACCAAAUUGUGAUUUGUUACAGCUGCAAAAGGAAACUCAUACCCAACAAACACGUGAGACAUCCAAUACAUGAGAUGGUGUGUCUCAGAAGCCCAGCCCCACUGGCCUCAGGCUUGGGAAGGAAAUGCAGGUUUUCACCUUUUCCACGUGGUGAGAGGAGCCAGGACCUCUGCAGAGAGACACCGUGAAGCUCUGACGCAGCCUCCCGAAGCUCCGCCUAGUCCCUGGAUCUCCCGGGACAGGGAUUCUCCUGAAGAGGGGAUGGAAGCAGGGAUGAUGGAGGAUGGGGCUGAGAAAGGCCUGUGUAGUCCCCACCUCAUUCACACAGUUCAGACACAUAGUAGGUCUUCAACAGUAUUCUAUCAAUGGAUGGAUGGGUGGGAGGGAGAAUGAGAGGGUGGGUGGAUGAAUGGAUGGAUGGUUAGGACUUAAUUUUGAGAACACUGAUCUUGGAGGAAAGUUACUGGGUCAUCACGAUCCUGACCACAGACUCAUCGAGGCCAAUGGCAACUCCCCUCCCUCCCGGCUCCCUCAAGUCCAAGCAUCUCCAGGGCAAAGGUUCAUCUUCCUUCAGAGACUGAGCCAUGCGCUGCCCCGGGUUCUGUGUGGGUUAUACCUCCCCUUGACGCCCAGCACAAUGCGUUUGUGCCUGUGACAUGCUGAAUAAAUAAACACACGUGGAGCCCACGAAGCUUAAUCAGGCAGCUCUGGUGUCCCAGGUGUUACACAGUCACAGGAACAUCUAAUCACAGCCAGCCCGUGAGAGGUCAGAUUACUGACAUUCUGCAGAUGGAGCAGGUGGAGCCUCAGAGAUCUCACUAG